GCUCACAUCUCUCUCACAGGAGGCUGACCUCUGAGGAAGAGGAGGUGUAGCCUAGAAGAUGACAAUGUUGGGUCUUCUGUGUCUGGUGACAGCCCUUCCUGGUAUCCUGUCCCAGGUACAGCUUCAGGAGUCAGGACCUGGCCUGGUGAAGCCCUCACAGUCACUGUCUCUCACCUGCUCUGUCACUGGUGAUUCCAUCACCAGUUAUGCCUGGAGCUGGAUCAGGCAGUCCCCAGGGAAGAAGCUGGAGUGGAUGGGGUACAUAAGUUCUGGUGGUAGCACCAGGUACAACCCAUCCCUGCAGAGCCGCAUCUCCAUCACCAGAGAAACAUCCAAGAACCAGUUCUUCCUGCAGCUGAACUCUGUGACCACUGAGGACACAGCCACAUAUUACUGUGCAAGACACAGUGAGGAGACUUCAGCAUGAGUCCAGACAUAAACCUCCCUGCAGAGGAGCUCUGGACCA